GAAUCUAGUCUGUAAGAUUUGUGAAUGUGUUGUUAUGUAUCUACCUUAACUAACAACACAUUCACAAAUCUUACAGACUAGAUUC
rnacentral:pre_miRNA from 1 species